GGCCCGUUAGCUCAAUUUGGCAGAGCAGCGGACUCUUAAUCCGCGGGUUCCAGGUUCGAGUCCUGGACGGGUCA
rnacentral:tRNA from 2 species